AAGCGCUUGCAAUCAGACUUGCGCCUAGUUGAUCAUCUGGGCUUCUGUCCAGUGCACUCGAUUAGGCUCAGGCCAGCAUCAGUUUGGGUGGUUGGAUAAAGGCUUAGGGAAUGUAGCCCCUUUCGGGGGGUGUUAUAGCCCUAGGUGCAAUGCAGCCUACCUGGACUGAGGACCGCGCUUCGGCUAGGAUGCUGGCGUAAUGGUUGUAAGCGA
rnacentral:rRNA from 1 species